GAAGGGUGUUUCUCGUGCCCAGCCUGCGUUCUCCGAAAGGGCAGCUGCCCAAAGGUCUGGAAAAGAGAGACUGUUAGAGAUGAAAUGGAAUCAAAAGCCCAGAUCACAAACACCCAUCAAACCUCAGAAGCUCAGGUCCAGAUCUGCCUCUCAGACAGCUGUGGAGAAGGGAAGAACACGAAGCAUUGCCUGGGGCACAGCUUCCAGCCCUCAGGAGGUGGCAUCAGGGACCACAUUUUGCAGCUGAUUUUUCUGUCUGAAAUGGUCUUAAUCAUCCUCAGACCUGGCAGCAGGGAAGUCACUCUGGGGUCACAAUUUCUGUUUCUUUGGCCCAUGUCAAAGAAAUUAAAAUGAUUGUAUCUCUGGUGAGAUAGGAGGUGCAGAACAGCUUUUGAAGAUCUGGGAUUAGCUGUAAGGGACACAAUUAGUGAGGAGGAUGCACAGGUAACUAUGUCAUAGUUACUGAAAAUGUACUUUAUUAAGAUUGGGAGAGAUAAAUGCUUUCCUAGAACUAGACAGCAAGACAAAAAAUACAGACAUCAUUAAGCCAGGAACUGAUGGUAAAGAGAGGACAAGAAAAUUAUGCUAAAUAAAAAGUCAAAUUAACUCCCUGUAUAUUGAAUCACUCCACUUGAUGGAAAGUUUCAGGUGCAUCAUGUAUUUAAAGUCCAGGUAUAAUAGAUGAAAAAAAAAUACUUCACUCAUUAAAAUUUCCUAAACUACUGAAAAAUCUGGGGUGUCGAGUUUUCUCUUCCAACCCAUCUUGAGGUUAAGUGAAGAGCCUCCAGCACCUUUUUUUCCUGUACAAUACUCAGAUAAGUAAGCCCUGAAGGCCAGAGGUUUCCUGAGCUCAGGAAGAACAUCCAGUGUGUCCAGAGCAGCGAUGUGGAGAGGGUGCAGCACCACACAGAGUGUCCCAAGAGUCGCUGUGCUGCUGAGGUGUCCUCUGUGUCCCCUUGGCACAAGCACAGCACGAGCAGGAGCUCACUCAGCAAAACUGAAAGUGUCUGUAACAGGACUCCCUCGUCCAGCAUGCCAUCAGCCUGUGGAAUUUGCCAUCUCCUGGGGCAGUUCCCUCCAGGCUGUGGCACAAUGGCUGAGCAGACCACGAGAGGUUGCUUGCAUUAGAGAAGUUGGACACCAGCUCCCCAUAAGUGGCACCUGGGACUGCUGUUUAACAGCAAGAAGCAUCUCCACUUUCUCCCUCACAGAAAUUCUCCUGUUCUGUGUAUUUCUAGGGAGUCUGCUUUCCCAUUCUGACUUCUAGGAAGACCAACAAAACCUCAAGCAGUGCAGAGAGAGCUGCAAAAAGGAAAUGGUGCUGAAAUAGGAAAAAGGCACAAGACUGUGCAGCUGAUUUAUGCCAGCCAGUCAAGUGCUGGGAAAACAAAUAAAACUGGAAGCAAAAUAUUUUAAUUAAAUAGA
rnacentral:lncRNA from 1 species